GUUUGUGCACGAGUCUUGCUUCUGCUUUUCUGUUAAGGUUCUUGCAGCAGUAGCAGUAGGGGAUUAGUUUGACAUUUUUUUUUUAAUUAAUCUUUUUCUUACUUGAAAGGUAUUUGGUUUUGGAUUCUGUUUUUCUGUUAAGGUUCUUGCAGUAGUAGCAGUAGGGGAUUAGUUUGACUUUUUUUUUUUAAUUAAUCUUUUUCUUACUUGAAAGGUAUUUGGUUUUGGAUUCUGUUUUUCUGUUAAGGUUCUUGCAGUAGUAGCAGUAGGGGAUUAGUUUGACUUUUUUUUUUUUUAUUAAUCUUUUUCUUACUUGAAAGGUAUUUGGUUUUGGAUUAAAAUGGUGAUGUGGUAGUUGACGGGGACUGUGAGGAUAUAAAAGAUGAUGGAAUCGCUCGCCGAUCGUAAUGGUUGUAGUCUUAUACUGCCUUGACGACACCAUCACAAAACUAUACAUAUCUGAGUCUCCUUCCUUCCGCAUCACCUCUAAAACCCAUUUUUUCUCUUUCUCUAGUCUGGGAAAUAUGGGUAACAGGAACAAUUCUUUGUGCACCGUCUUCGCUGCGGAAAAUUCAAUAUGGAGCGCACCGUUUCAUCUGUUUGGGCCACGUAACCAUCGUCUGUUUGGGCCACGUAAUCAUCAAUUUUUACAAUAUAUUUAAUAUUUAUAAUUUUUUUAUAAAAAUAUUUUUUUAAAAAAUAUAAUAUUUUGUAUGGACAUCGUAUAUUAAAAUUAUAAUUUUUUAUAUCAUAAUUUUUUCACAAAAUAUUAUAAAAAUAAAAAAUAUUUUUAUUAUAAAAAAUUUUAAAUAAAAAAUAAAAUUAUAAAUAUUAAAUAUAUAUUAAAAAAUGAUAACUACUUGGCCAAUUACGGCAUUCCACACCGCGGCAGUGUACAAAGAAUUUCUUUGGGUGACAGGUGAGAGCAGUCCCAUUUCCACCUUCGGAUCAAUUCCUUUUCCCACUACAAAAAAAAAAAAAAAAAUCAAUGCCCGCACAGAGAUCUCUAUGCAAACGUCCGUACAAAGGCACCCUUGCUGCCUCGGGGGCAUGCCUGUAAAUACAACGAGCUCGAGGCCCUUUUCCCAAACACUCCUACCAUAUCAACUCCUCUCCGCAUUAGGGAUUCUGUGUUUCGCUUUGUUUAGAGUCGGAGGCUUGGAGCUGGCCGUCUCCUCUCUCUCUCUCUCUCUCCUUCCCCCCUAUUUCUACUAAUUUUCUUUCGUGCCGACAGGGAUUUUAGCUUUUUCGUUCUUAGAUUAUCGUGUUUCAUUCGGGCGGGUUUGAUUUUUUUUUAAAUUACUGUUUUUUUUUUCUUUGUCCUAAGAUUCUUUGGGAGGAUGACUGUGUUGCGGUGAUGAAACCCAAAUCGGUCGAAAGCAUUUUCCGAUCGGAAAAUGUUUGAUGGGAUGGAAACGAUUUUCCUGAGCGGUUACCUGAGCAACGCUCCCACUUUCCCAUGAGCACAGAAUGAUCUUUCGAGAAAGAAGACGUUUCCGCUUGUCGCUCUUUUCUGAUAAAAAGACCUUGGAUUCAAGGCAUGGGAAAUUGUACCAUGUAACUCUUGCCAAAGCCACAAUCCUAAUAUAACCAGGCACACUAAUGAUGGCGUUCAUUCUUCAUCUCCUUGAGAGAUGUCAAAUACUUUAAAAUGAAUUUGAGUGUAUAUAGAGUUUGUGGAUUGUUAACAGAUUAUCAAUGCUUUUUUUGAUAUGUUUUUGGGUGUCCAAACAUAUUAAUCAAUUACGUACGACAUAGAGGUUCUCGAUUUAAUCAGAUCCGUGAGCUCAUUUUAAGGAAUAAAAUGGAUAUGCCAAUUUUCUGUGCAUUUUAAAGUUCCA